rnacentral:rRNA from 1 species
AGUGAACGCUGGCGGUAGGCCUAACACAUGCAAGUCGAACGGCAGCACAGUAAGAGCUUGCUCUUACGGGUGGCGAGUGGCGGACGGGUGAGGAAUACAUCGGAAUCUACUUUUUCGUGGGGGAUAACGUAGGGAAACUUACGCUAAUACCGCAUACGACCUACGGGUGAAAGCAUGGGAUCUUCGGACCUUGCGCGAUUGAAUGAGCCGAUGUCGGAUUAGCUAGUUGGCGGGGUAAAGGCCCACCAAGGCGACGAUCCGUAGCUGGUCUGAGAGGAUGAUCAGCCACACUGGAACUGGGACACGGUCCAGACUCCUACGGGAGGCAGCAGUGGGGAAUAUUGGACAAUGGGCGCAAGCCUGAUCCAGCCAUACCGCGUGGGUGAAGAAGGCCUUCGGGUUGUAAAGCCCUUUUGUUGGGAAAGAAAAGCAGCAGGUUAAUACCCCGCUGUUCCGACGGUACCCAAAGAAUAAGCACCGGCUAACUUCGUG